rnacentral:misc_RNA from 1 species
AUUUCGAUGAAAACCUUUUUUCUUGAGGUGUGGCUCGCACCUGUCUAACUAAAUCGAGCUACCACAUUUUAACACGGUUGCAUCGGUUGGCUGUCAAACAGUGCGCGCGGCGAUUUAUUUUAUUUCGCCCACCGCGCUUUGCGAGACGGUCGACAUUUACCAAAAACACUGUUGAUACCAUAGGAUUUGAACGUAGAUGAAACUCGACUGGUAAUGCGGUCGUCUAAAAUCUAAAAACAACUUUUGGCAACGGAUCUCUUGGUUCUCCCAUCGAUGAAGAACGCAGCGAAUUGCGAUAAGUAAUGUGAAUUGCAGAAGUGAAUCAUCGAAUCUUUGAACGCACCUUGCGCUCCCGGCAGAUCUAAUCUGGGGAGCAUGCCUGUUUGAGGGCCGCGAAUUGUUUCGAACGACAGCUUUCUUAUUUAGUUGAGAAAGGUGGCGGAUCGGUAUUGAGGGUCUUGCCAUCUUCCACGGUGGCUCCCUCGAAAUGCAUUAGCGCAUCCAUUCGAUAGGCAAGACGGACGAAAGCUCGUUAUUUCGCCCACGUCUUUCCCUGCCGGGUUUUGAUAAUAUCAGGACUUCGGAGAGGAGAGGCGCAGGGUCGAGGAGCUGGACGCGACGUUUU